CCUACGGGGGGCUGCAGUGGGGAAUAUUGGACAAUGGGCGAAAGCCUGAUCCAGCCAUGCCGCGUGUGUGAAGAAGGCCUUCGGGUUGUAAAGCACUUUCAGUGGGGAAGAAAGCCUUGGGGCUAAUACCCUCGAGGAAGGACAUCACCCACAGAAGAAGCACCGGCUAACUCCGUGCCAGCAGCCGCGGUAAUACGGAGGGUGCGAGCGUUAAUCGGAAUUACUGGGCGUAAAGCGCGCGUAGGCGGUCUGAUAAGCCGGUUGUGAAAGCCCCGGGCUCAACCUGGGAACGGCAUCCGGAACUGUCAGGCUAGAGUGCAGGAGAGGAAGGUAGAAUUCCCGGUGUAGCGGUGAAAUGCGUAGAGAUCGGGAGGAAUACCAGUGGCGAAGGCGGCCUUCUGGACUGACACUGACGCUGUGGUGCGAAAGCGUGGGUAGCAAACAGGAUUAGAUACCCCAGUAGUC
rnacentral:rRNA from 1 species